GGGCUAUAGCUCAGUGGUAGAGCAUCAGCUUUGCAUGCAGAAGGUCUCAGGUACAAUCCCUGGCAUCUCCG